rnacentral:rRNA from 1 species
AUACAGAGGGUGCGAACGUUGCUCGGAUUUACUGGGCGUAAAGCGCGUGUAGGCGGGCUGGCAAGUCGGUUGUGAAAUCCCUGGGCUCAACCUAGGAACUGCAUCCGAAACUGCCUGUCUUGAGUAGUAGAGAGGGUGGCGGAAUUCCCGGUGUAGAGGUGAAAUUCGUAGAUAUCGGGAGGAACAUCAGUGGCGAAGGCGGCCACCUGGAUACUUACUGACGCUGAGACGCGAAAGCGUGGGGAGCAAACAGGAUUAGAUACCCUGGUAGUCCACGCCGUAAACGAUGAGCACUAGGUGCAGCGGAUAUUGACCUCUGCUGUGCCGUAGCUAACGCGUUAAGUGCUCCGCCUGGGGAGUACGGCCGCAAGGCUAAA